rnacentral:rRNA from 1 species
UACAGAGGGUGCGAGCGUUAAUCGGAAUUACUGGGCGUAAAGUGCACGUAGGCGGCUUGGUAUGUCGGGUGUGAAAUCCCCGGGCUCAACCUGGGAACUGCAUCCGAAACUGCUUUGCUAGAGUAUGGGAGAGGGAAGUGGAAUUUCCGGUGUAGCGGUGAAAUGCGUAGAUAUCGGAAGGAACAUCAGUGGCGAAGGCGACUUCCUGGACCAAUACUGACGCUCAGGUGCGAAAGCGUGGGGAGCAAACAGG